rnacentral:rRNA from 1 species
UACGGGGGGAGCAAGCGUUGUUCGGAUUUACUGGGCGUAAAGGGCGCGUAGGCGGUAGCACAAGUCAGUUGUGAAAUCUCCGGGCUUAACUCGGAAAGGUCAACUGAUACUGUGCGACUAGAGUGCAGAAGGGGCAACUGGAAUUCUCGGUGUAGCGGUGAAAUGCGUAGAUAUCGAGAGGAACACCUGCGGCGAAGGCGGGUUGCUGGGCUGACACUGACGCUGAGGCGCGAAAGCGUGGGGAGCAAACGGG